AAACUUUCAACAAUGGAUCUCUUGGUUCCGGCAUCGAUGAAGAACGCAGCGAACUGCGAUAAGUAAUGUGAAUUGCAGAAUUCAGUGAAUCAUCGAGUCUUUGAACGCACAUU
rnacentral:rRNA from 2 species